GAAGAAGGAAGCUCUUGACUCUCCUAAAGCUGAUCCCAAAGUGAAGGCUUUGAAGGCCAAGAAGGCAGUGCUGAAAGGCAUCCACACAGCCACCAAGAAAAAAAAAAAAAAGAUUCACACAUCACCCACCUUCCUGUGGCCCAAGACAUUAUGACUCUGAAGACAGCCUCAAUAUCCUCAGAAGAGCACUACCAGGAGAAAUAAGCUUGACCACUAUGCCAUCAUCAAGUUCCCAAUAACCAGUGACCACUGAGUCUGAUGUGAAUUAGAUAGAAGACAACAAUACACCUGUGUUCACUGUGGAUGUUAAAAGCCAAAAAGUACCAGGUCAGGCUGUGAAGCAGCUCUAUGACACUGAUGUGGUCAAAGUCAACACAUUGAUCAGGGCUGAUGGAGAGAAGAAGGCGUAUGUUCAACUGGCUCCUGAUUACAAUGCUUCUGAGGUUGCCAACAAAACUGGGAUCAUC
rnacentral:lncRNA from 1 species